UACGUAGGGCGCAAGCGUUGUCCGGAAUUAUUGGGCGUAAAGAGCUCGUAGGCGGUCUGUUACGUCCGCUGUGAAAACCCAGGGCUUAACCCUGGGCUUGCAGUGGAUACGGGUAGACUAGAGGCAGGUAGGGGAGAAUGGAAUUCCCGGUGUAGCGGUGAAAUGCGUAGAUAUCGGAAGGAACAUCAGUGGCGAAAGCGACUUCCUGGACCAAUACUGACGCUCAUGUGCGAAAGCGUGGGGAGCAAACAGG
rnacentral:rRNA from 1 species